AGCGAACGCUGGCGGCAGGCCUAACACAUGCAAGUCGAACGAACCUUUCGGGGUUAGUGGCGGACGGGUGAGUAACACGUGGGAACGUGCCUUUAGGUUCGGAAUAACUCAGGGAAACUUGUGCUAAUACCGAAUGUGCCCUUCGGGGGAAAGAUUAGUCGCCGUUAGAGCGGCCCGCGUCUGAUUAGCUAGUUGGUUGAGGUAAUGGCUCACCAAGGCGACGAUCAGUAGCUGGUCUGAGAGGAUGGUCAGCCACAUUGGGGCUGAGACACGGCCCAAACUCCUACGGGAGGCAGCAGUGGGGAAUCUUGCGCAAUGGGCGAAAGCCUGACGCAGCCAUGCCGCGUGAAUGAUGAAGGUCUUAGGAUUGUAAAAUUCUUUCACCGGGGACGAUAAUGACGGUACCCGGAGAAGAAGCCCCGGCUAACUUCGUG
rnacentral:rRNA from 1 species